rnacentral:rRNA from 1 species
CAGCAGCCGCGGUAAUACGAAGGUGGCAAGCGUUAUUCGGAUUUACUGGGCGUACAGGGAGCGUAGGCGGUUUGGUAAGCCCUCUGUGAAAUCUUCAGGCUUAACCUGGAAAAGUCGGAGGGGACUGCCGGGCUAGAGGACGGGAGAGGAGCGCGGAAUUCCCGGUGUAGCGGUGAAAUGCGUAGAGAUCGGGAGGAAGGCCGGUGGCGAAGGCGGCGCUCUGGAACGUUUCUGACGCUGAGGCUCGAAAGCGUGGGGAGCAAACAGGAUUAGAUACCCUGGUAGUCCACGCCUUAAACUAUGAAUACUAAGUGUCGGCGGGUUACCGCCGGUGCCGCAGCUAACGCAUUAAGUAUUCCGCCUGGGAAGUACGGCCGCAAGGUUGAAACUUAAAGGAAUUGACGG